AGUGAACGCUGGCGGUAGGCCUAACACAUGCAAGUCGAACGGCAGCACAGUAAGAGCUUGCUCUUACGGGUGGCGAGUGGCGGACGGGUGAGGAAUACAUCGGAAUCUACUUUUUCGUGGGGGAUAACGUAGGGAAACUUACGCUAAUACCGCAUACGACCUACGGGUGAAAGCAGGGGAUCUUCGGACCUUGCGCGAUUGAAUGAGCCGAUGUCGGAUUAGCUAGUUGGCGGGGUAAAGGCCCACCAAGGCGACGAUCCGUAGCUGGUCUGAGAGGAUGAUCAGCCACACUGGAACUGAGACACGGUCCAGACUCCUACGGGAGGCAGCAGUGGGGAAUAUUGGACAAUGGGCGCAAGCCUGAUCCAGCCAUACCGCGUGGGUGAAGAAGGCCUUCGGGUUGUAAAGCCCUUUUACUGGGAAAGAAAAGCAGCAGGUUAAUACCCCGCUGUUCUGACGGUACCCAAAGAAUAAGCACCGGCUAACUUCGUG
rnacentral:rRNA from 1 species